CCUGGUGAAAUUAGCGCUGUGGAACCACCCGAUCCCAUCCCGAACUCGGAAGUGAAACGCAGCUGCGCCGAUGGUAGUGUGGC
rnacentral:rRNA from 1 species